UUCUGCCUUCUUUUCAGAUUC
rnacentral:piRNA from 1 species